AGCGAACGCUGGCGGCGUGCCUAACACAUGCAAGUCGAACGUGAAAAGGGGCAACCCUGAGUAAAGUGGCGUACGGGUGAGUAACGCGUAGGUAAUCUACCCCAGAAUCUGGAAUAACCUGCCGAAAGGCGGGCUAAUACUGGAUAGAGCGAUGGAAUCCGUAAUUGGGUUUUUCGGGUAAGGGAGGGAGCAAUCCCCUUCGUUCUGGGAUGAGCCUGCGUCUCAUUAGCUAGUUGGUGGGGAAGUGGCCCACCAAGGCAUUGAUGGGUAGCUGGUCUGAGAGGAUGAUCAGCCACACUGGAACUGAAACACGGUCCAGACUCCUACGGGAGGCAGCAGUGGGGGAAUCUUGCGCAAUGGACGAAAGCCUGACGCAGCCCACGCCGC
rnacentral:rRNA from 1 species